UACGUAGGUGGCAAGCGUUGUCCGGAUUUACUGGGCGUAAAGAGCGCGCAGGCGGCCAGGUCAGUCGAAUGUGAAAGCCCCCGGCUCAACUGGGGAGGGUCAUUCGAUACUGCCUGGCUUGAAGAUAGGAGAGGGAAGCGGAAUUUCAGGUGUAGUGGUGAAAUGCGUAGAUAUCUGAAGGAACACCAGUGGCGAAGGCGGCUUUCUGGCCUAUUCUUGACGCUGAGGCGCGAAAGCUAGGGGAGCGAACGGG
rnacentral:rRNA from 1 species